GCCAGCAUGGUAUAGUGGUUUAAUCAUUGGACUAUAGCUCUGGAGACCAGGGUUCGAAUCCAAGCUUGGCC